rnacentral:tRNA from 1 species
CCCCUUGUAGCUCAGUCGGUAAAGAAUCUGCCUGCAAUGCAGGAGACCCAGGUUCGAUCCCUGGAUUGGGAA